AAUCAACGCUGGCGGCGUGCCUCAGACAUGCAAGUCGAACGAUUAAAGCUCUCUUCGGAGAGUGCAUAAGGUGGCGCACGGGUGAGUAACACGUAAGUAAUCUACCCUCGAGUGGGAAGUAACGUCCGGAACGGACGCUAAUAACCGCAUAAUGCAGCGGCAUCGCAAGAUGACAGUUGUUAAAGAUUAUCGCUUGAAGAGGAGCUUGCGGCAGAUAGUCUAGUUGGUAAGGUAA
rnacentral:rRNA from 1 species